AAAUACAAGUAGAAAUGUUUGAUGCUACAAUAUUACCACAAUUUUCUUUACUACCAUUAUCCUAAAUAUGUUAAGGUAAUAAAUAAGAGUCCACCACCCAUUAAUUCCUGCUUACAAACCAAGCAUGUAAGGCCUUAUAUAUAAAAA